CGAAGAACCUUACCUGGGUUUGACAUCCCCGGCCGACAUCAGAGAUGGUGUUUUCUCUUCGGAGACCGGGUGACAGGUGCUGCAUGGCUGUCGUCAGCUCGUGUCGUGAGAUGUUGGGUUAAGUCCCGCAACGAGCGCAACCCUUGCCCUCAGUUGCCAGCAGUUCGGCUGGGCACUCUGGGGGGACUGCCGGUGACAAGCCGGAGGAAGGUGGGGAUGACGUCAAGUCCUCAUGGCCUUUAUAUCCAGGGCUACACACGUGUUACAAUGGGGGUCACAAAGGGCAGCGAAACGGUGACGUGGAGCGAAUCCCAAAAAAGCCCUCUCAGUUCGGAUCGCAGUCUGCAACUCGACUGCGUGAAGCUGGAAUCGCUAGUAAUCGCGGAUCAGCACGCCGCGGUGAAUACGUUCCCGGGCCUUGUACACACCGCCCGUCACACCAUGGGAGUUGACAGGGGCAGAAGCCGCCAAGCCAACCUUCGGGAGGCAGGCGUCCAAGCUCCGGUUGAUGACUGGGGUGAAGUCGUAACAAGGUAGCCGUAGGAGAACCUGCGGCUGGAUCACCUCCUUUCUAAGGACGUCGGAGAUGCUUUUAAAGUAUUCCGAGAGUCAAAGUCGACUCAGGCUCCUCAACAAGCUGUUUGGAUCAGAUUUAAAAGCUGGAAUCUGCGCUUAGGGCCUGUAGCUCAGCUUGGUUAGAGCGCAUCCCUGAUAAGGAUGAGGCCGGUGGUUCAAGUCCACCCAGGCCCACCACACACGGGGGAUUAGCUCAGUUGGGAGAGCGCCUGCCUUGCAAGCAGGAGGUCAGCGGUUCAACUCCGCUAUCCUCCACCACAGUGGAGCGAUUGGAGUCUCUUUUUUAAGGAGAUUGUUUUCGUUUCAUUCUUGUUCUUAGACAUUUCAUUUUAGCGAUUUUUUAGAUGAGAGACCCGAGAUCAGUGUUGAGGGUUUCUCAGGGUUGACAGUAAAACUGCAAGUCAAGCAGAAAGGGCACAAGGCGGAUGCCUUGGCUCCGGGAAGCGAAGAAGGACGCGGCCAGCUGCGAUAACUGGGAGAU
rnacentral:sRNA from 1 species